GACGAACGCUGGCGGCGUGCUUAACACAUGCAAGUCGAACGAAGUGGCGAACGGGUGAGUAACGCGUAAUCAACCUGCCCUUCAGGGGGGGACAACAGUUGGAAACGACUGCUAAUACCGCAUACUGAAGGAGGGGAUUGCGUCUGAUUAGCUAGUUGGAGGGGUAACGGCCCACCAAUGCGAUGAUCAGUAGCCGGGCUGAUGUGUUGAACGGCCACAUUUGGAAUGAGACACGGCCCAGAAGCCUACGGGAGGCAGUAUGUGGGAAUCUUCCGAAAUGGACGAAAGUCGUACGGAGCAACGCCGCGUGAGUGAUGACGGCCUUCGGGUUGUAAAGCUCUGUUAAUCGGGACGCGGUACCGGAAUAGAAAGCCACGGCUAACUACGUGCCAGCCGCCGCGGUAAUUC
rnacentral:rRNA from 1 species